rnacentral:rRNA from 1 species
UCAAAUUUGAAAUCUGGCGUCUUUGGCGUCCGAGUUGUAAUUUGAAGAAGGUAUCUUUGGGCCCGGCUCUUGUCUAUGUUCCUUGGAACAGGACGUCACAGAGGGUGAGAAUCCCGUGCGAUGAGAUGACCCGGGUCUGUGUAAAGUUCCUUCGACGAGUCGAGUUGUUUGGGAAUGCAGCUCUAAGUGGGUGGUAAAUUCCAUCUAAAGCUAAAUAUUGGCGAGAGACCGAUAGCGAACAAGUACAGUGAUGGAAAGAUGAAAAGAACUUUGAAAAGAGAGUGAAAAAGUACGUGAAAUUGUUGAAAGGGAAGGGCUUGAGAUCAGACUUGGUAUUUUGCAUGCUGCUCUCUCGGGGGCGGCCGCUGCGGUUUACCGGGCCAGCAUCGGUUUGGAGCGGCAGGAUAAUGGCGGAGGAAUGUGGCACGGCUUCUGCUGUGUGUUAUAGCCUCUGACGAUACUGCCAGCCUAGACCGAGGACUGCGGUUUUUAACCUAGGAUGUUGGCAUAAUGAUCUUAAGUCGCCCGUCUUGA